rnacentral:sRNA from 1 species
UUUUAUCCUAUCGAAAGUUAGCUACGUCGCUAACUUCACGCAGAUUUUUCAUAAAUAUUUAACAAAAUAACAAGGCUCGUGUAAUAGUAUAACGCAUUGUGUUUAUCUCGGCUUAUUUCUUUGAUGAAGGCUUUUCCACAAACAAGUGGUUUCGAUUUAGUUAUCCGUUUUGCUCUAUGGACCGUCCGAUAUGCAAGCAUUAUUAAGUACAUUUUUAAUAACUGUACAAACAAUCGAAAUUAUAUUCCGUUGUCCAUAACUAGGACUUAAAUGUAUGGCAAUCCAUGAAUUUAUUUGGUCAGGUGUUUGCUGAUAACCUAAUAAGUGAUCAAAGUUAUGUCCAGACAUUUUGUUUCCUUCUUGUGCUAACGUGUGUGUGUAUGAAGCAGCUACUACGUCACAGCAUCAACUGGUCACCAGCGACUGUUUGGCGACGUCUGACGUGCUUCCUUUCAUUUUCGUGGCGACGGAAAUAUGAUCGAUUUUUUGUAUUUCAUAUCCUAAAAAUACCCUCAAUAAGUAACCACCAUCAAUGCAAGUAAACGACUCAUUGCAAAGGUCUAAUACCACCUCGAUGUACUCUUAAAAUUUGUGGUUGUAUCAAAAAAGAAGAGAAACUUCUAAUAAAAAUGCAGUUAACAUUAGAUUUCACUUGUAUAAUACCUUUGGGUUUAAUACUCCUUUUGAUAUUUCAUCCAUCUGCCCCAGCUAUACUACCAUCCGAUAACGGAGUGACAUGUGAGCAUUUCGAUGAGACGAACUGUACGAAACUUGGCGAUUGUACCUUCACAAUGCAGCAUUGCAAAAUAGACUCAGAAAAACCUCCAGGUUGUUAUGUACUGUGGACAAAGAACGAGGCAACUGGU